rnacentral:lncRNA from 1 species
AGAUAGAAUUGCAGAAAUUACGAGAACAAAUUUAGAUACAGAAAUACAAGAUAUCCUGUUAAAUAUGGAAGAGAGUAGACCAGUAUAAAGUUUAGAUAUCCUGUUAAAUACGGUUAAAAGGGAACUUGACAUAAAAGAUGAAAUAGAGGAUUCAGGAGAAAAUAUGGAUCAAGGAUUUGAACAAGAAUUGAAGAGAAAUCUUAAUCAGAGGAGCAUGGUGGAAUUUCCUUGAAACAAUUGUGAGUAUGUUGCAACCAGAGCUUGUAACCUCAAGAUCCACUUUAAGGGUGAACAUGAAGGAGUGAGACAUCCUUGUCCUAAAUGUGAGUUUACUGCAACCAGCGUAAGAAAACUGAAAAUUCAUAUUGAAAGUAGGACAGAAGCACACCUUCCUGCUUACUUUCACGAAGAAGUGAGAUAUUCUUGUUCCCACUGCGAGUAUGUUGUUUUAACAGCAAGUCACUUGAAGAUUCAUAUUGAAUGUAAACAUAAGGAAGUGAGAUAUCCAUGCUGCCAAUGUGAGUUUAUUGUAACUCGAGCAACUCAUCUGAAGGUUCAGUUUGAAAGUAAACAUGAAGGGGUGAGAUUUCUUGUUCACGAUGUAAGUGUAUUACAACUUCAGUAAGUAAACAUGACUUUGUGAGUUAUCCUUGUUCUAAAUGUGAGUACGUUGCUACUAACAGAAUCAAUCUGAUUAAACAUGUAGAAGUGAGAUUUCCAUGUUCUCAAUGUAUAUGUGCUGCAACCAGAGCAGUUAAUAGUUGCUUGGUGCUAAAGUCGGCUUGCUAUCUCAAUAUGCAAAAGAAAUACAGCAUUAAGACUUGCAUGGUUUCCCCCAAAAUGAUCUCGAGGCAAGAAAAGAAGUCUUAAGGUUUGGAUUUAACAUUAAACAAUUUCAACUAAUAAUUUACUAAGUAGAAAUAAAUAAAUAAUAACCAGUCAA